GUACACGCUGUGACUAGCAUAUCAAUAAGCGGAGGAAAAGAAACUAACAAGGAUUCCCUUAGUAACGGCGAGUGAAGCGGGAAGAGCUCAAAUUUGAAAUCUUGAAAGGUCACCUUUCACGAAUUGUAGUUUAAAGAAGUGUUUUCUGUUACGAUCGUAAUAUAAGUUCUUUGGAAUAGGACAUCACAGAGGGUGAGAAUCCCGUCUAUGAUUGCGAUUUGUAGCUUUGUGAUACACUUUCAAAGAGUCGGGUUGUUUGGGAAUGCAGCCCAAAACGGGAGGUAAAUUUCAUCUAAGGCUAAAUAUUGGCGAGAGACCGAUAGCGAACAAGUACCGUGAGGGAAAGAUGAAAAGAACUUUGAAAAGAGAGUUAAACAGUACGUGAAAUUGUCAAAAGGGAAGCGUUUGACACCAGUGUUGUUUUCUCGAAAAUCAAUUAAAAAUGGCUCGAUUUUGUAUUGCUGAGACCUUAAAAGCUCACUGUACACUUUUCGUGUCUUUUUUAAUGCACUUUUCGUUUAACAAGUCAACAUCAGUUUCUUUUGUUGUAAAAGGGUCAUUGGAAGGUGGCUUUCUUUUCGGAGAAAGUGUUUAUAGCCUUUGGCCUCUGCAAUCGGAGAGACUGAGGUCUGCAGCGUAGACUCUUCGGGGUUAGAUACAUUUGUGCUAAGUUAUAGCUUUUUAUAGACAACAUGUUGACUAUAAUUAGUCUUGUAGCUUACUCGCUUAUGCUAUUUUACCUACGCUUAGGAUGUUGAGUAGCGACAUACGCAC
rnacentral:rRNA from 1 species